GACAGAGGGUGCAAACGUUGCUCGGAAUCACUGGGCGUAAAGGGCGUGUAGGCGGGAAUGUAAGUCGGGCGUGAAAUCCCUAGGCUCAACCUAGGAACUGCACUCGAAACUGCGUUUCUUGAGUACUGGAGAGGAAAGCGGAAUACCUGGUGUAGAGGUGAAAUUCGUAGAUAUCAGGUGGAACACCAGCGGCGAAGGCGGCUUUCUGGACAGUAACUGACGCUGAGA
rnacentral:rRNA from 1 species